CUGAAACGCCCUCGUUUGACGAUAUGACCGGACUUUGUGGUUCCCGAAGCGAAGCGAUCAGGUCGAUUCCAGUAUCGAUGACUCCCCGAGUAAACGGCGAACGAUCGACUUUCGUGCCAGUGAAAUGAGGCGAAACAAAGAUCGUUCAAAUUGCAUCACGUCUCGCUAUUUCAGUCCCGGACCAUCCGACUAACUGCGACGACGACGACGACGACGACGAUCUCGAGAUCUUGGCCUCGUCGCACUGCGUCCCCCUACAGGCGCUGAUGUCAUUACCAACUGAAUUGCGCACAUAUGUGAACAAAAGUAGAUAAACGUAGUAAGGAGAAAAAAAAAAAAACUCAUGUACUUGUAACGCAACAGUUGACGUGCAGUAUGCAUUGAUCGAUUGUCGUGCAUAACGUGUUGCUUGUGCAAUGUGUGAAAACGUGGUGUAAAAUUCAAUUAUACAGUCAUGUAAAUAGAAAACCAUGGCAUGGAUAAGUUUGUUCAAGAACGCCAUAACUUCUGGAUCAUUGCCAAAGUAGGUUGACAACUCCCACAAACUGUUUGCAAACAAACUGAAAGAGAAAUGUUCAUUAAUUCAAUAAUACCAUUGUUGAAUCAGCUGAAGAAUUCACAGGAAAAAGGACCAACAGCACUCUGCGUUGACUGAAGAAUCGACUCCAAGUCUGUACUUUGACUCAUCAACUUUUUCAACCGACUACAGUUCAAGUGAGAAUCAGGUGAUAAUCAAAUAGAAAAAAUCUGUAUACUGUUUUAGAAGGUCAAUUUUAUACUGUACAAACUUU